AAAGCGGGAGCCGUAAAGCUUAAAGAGUAGGCA
rnacentral:ncRNA from 1 species